GUUGUCCGGAAUUAUUGGGCGUAAAGGGCGCGCAGGCGGUCUCUUAAGUCUGAUGUGAAACCUUGCGGCUUAACCGCAAGCGGUCAUUGGAAACUGGGGGACUUGAGUGCAGAAGAGGAGAGUGGAAUUCCACGUGUAGCGGUGAGAUGCGUAGAGAUGUGGAGGAACACCAGUGGCGAAGGCGGCUCUCUGGUCUGUAACUGACGCUGAGGCGCGAAAGCGUGGGUAGCGAACAGGAUUAGAUACCCUGGUAGUCCACGCCGUAAACGAUGAGUGCUAGGUGUUGGGGGGCACGCCCCUCAGUGCUGAAGUUAACACAUUAAGCACUCCGCCUGGGGAGUACGGCCGCAAGGCUGAAACUCAAAGGAAUUGACGGGGGCCCGCACAAGCGGUAGAGCAUGUGGUUUAAUUCGAAGCAACGCGAAGAACCUUACCAGGUCUUGACAUCCCGUUGCCCGGUGCAGAGAUGUGCCUUUCCCUUCGGGGACAACGGUGACAGGUGGUGCAUGGUUGUCGUCAGCUCGUGUCGUGAGAUGUUGGGUUAAGUCCCGCAACGAGCGCAACCGUUGACAUUAGUUGCCAUCAUUAAGUUGGGCACUCUAAUGUGACUGCCGCAGACAAUGCGGAGGAAGGUGGGGAUGACGUCAAAUCAUCAUGCCCCUUAUGACCUGGGCUACACACGUGCUACAAUGGAUGGUACAACGGGCAGCGAAGCCGUGAGGUGGAGCGAAUCCCAAAAAGCCAUUCUCAGUUCGGAUUGCAGGCUGCAACUCGCCUGCAUGAAGCAGGAAUCGCUAGUAAUCGCG
rnacentral:rRNA from 1 species